CCCCGCCCCGGUCGCUUGGGCCCUGGGUGGCAGGUUUGCGCAGCCCUGCGGCGAUUUCAAGGCAAGUGACCGGAAUGGGUCGGAAGCGCGUCCCGGUGAGUUUCAGGGAGCGUCCCUUAGGUUUCCGGGGGCGGCGUUGAACCUCCCUAGCCCCAGUCUUCCCAUCCCAGGAGACCCGCCCCUAGUGGCUCGAACGCCCCUAGCCAGGAGAGCCCCGAGUAGUGCCACUUGUGGAAGACUACGUGCCUGUCGGAAUUAGGAACCGCACCUCCCCUUCCGCUAAGCGGUGGGAGGCCAGGCGGGUGACGCGGAGCAGUGGAGCCAUGCAGCCUGUUUUACCAAAAGAUGAAAUCAAACCAGAAAUCAAAAAUGGAAGGAUAGGUGGCUGGCAAGAUGGUUGAAUAGGAACAGCUCCGGUCUGCAGUUCCCAGUGAGAUCAACACAGAAGGAUUGUCCAUGCUUCAAUCAUUUCUAUCCAAUGAAAUCUCUACAGAAGGCCCAAGGGGACUGAUGAGGUAUGGAGAACUUCCGGACAGCAGAACAUGUGGAGGGUUCUGGAGGGUGGUGUGUCUGGAGAGGGCGUGAAGGCUCCACACACCUUCCCGUAUGCCUUUUCUAUAAAUCCCUUAUCUAUAUCCUUUGUAAUAACCUUCAUGAUAUACCAGCAGAUGUGUUUCCAAGUUCUGUGAAGUGCUCUAGCAAAUUAAUCAAACUUAAAGAGAGGGUCAUGGGAACCUCAGUUUAUAACCUUGUUGGUCAGCACAAGUAAAGCAACCUAGGGCUUGCAAUUGGCAUCUGAAGUGGGACCUCAUCCUUUAACUUGUGGGACUGAGCCCUCAACCUGUGGAAUUCUAAUGCCAUCUCCAGGUAGAUGGCAUCAGAAUUGAAUUGGAGGGCACCCAGCUGGUAUCCACGGCAGAACUGAUUGCUCACUUGCUGGGGAGAAAUCUACUGGUCACAGAAGUCUUCUAUGCUGAUUGUUUUGUGGUGUGAGAACAGAGGAAAAAUAGUUUGAGCGCUUUCCACUCAACUAUUAAGGAAUUGAAUACAUAAUUUUAAAACUCCCCCAAAAGAAAUCUCCAGACCCAGAUGGUUCACUGGAGAAUUCUAAAAAAUGUUUAAAAAAGAAUUAACUCAAAUUUUUAAUAAUCUCUACCAGAAAACAGAAUAGGAAAGGAUACUUCCCAGUUCAUUAUAUAAGGCAGUAUUACCCCGAUACCAAAACCAGAAAAAGUACUGAAAAAUAAAACUGCAGACCAAUAUCCCUCAUGAAAAUAGAUGCAAAAUUCCUUACCAGAAUAUUUGCAAAUAAUAUUCUGCUAUAGAUAAAAAUAAUUGUAUACUAUGUGAUAUAGUUUGGAUAUUUGUCCCCACAGUUCAACACAAUUAUUGUGUUGACCGGUGGGAGGUGGGACUGAUGGGAAGUGUUUGAAUGGGGGGCUCGGAGAAGUGCCGAUCCCUCAUGGCUUCGUGCUGUCUUUGUGAUAGUGAGUUCUUAUGAGAUCUGGUCAUUUAAAAGUGUGUGGCACCUCCAAUUCCCUUGUCCUUGCUCCUGCUUUCUCCACAUAAAAUGCCUGCUCCCACUUUGCCUUGAGCCAUGAGACUAAUACAUUGCUGGUGGGAAUAUAAAAUGGUAUUGCUACUCAGGAAAACAGUUGGACAAUUUCUUUAAACAUUAAACAUACAACUACCUUACAACCUAGCAAUUGAACCCAUAGGCAUUUCUCCCAGAGAAAUGAAAACUUAUGCUCACACACAUAAAAGCUGUACACAAAUGUUUAUAGAAGGCUUCUUCCUAAUAGCCAAAGUCUGGGAAAACCUAUGUGCCCUUCUAAAGGUGAAUGGUUAAACAAAAUGUGUGCUGUGUAUCAUACUAAGGAAUAUCAACCCAGCAAUAAAAAGUAACAAACUAUUGAUCCACACAACAACUUAGAUAAAUCUUCAGAGGAUUAUGCUUUUAUGCAUGUAACUUCACAGUAUAAAGGAAAUACAAACAAUGUCUCCCUUCUCUAGUUUAUUCCACUUACCCCAGUCCUCCUAGGCUUCUGUGAAUUUCAGAAAGCAAAAACAAAAAAAAAAAAACUUUUUGUUCAAGGCGAUUUAAAAAAACAACUUCACAAGAUAGGGAGAAUUGUGGUGUGCUUGUCACAUGUUACCAGUGGUAACAAUUUUAAUGACAAAAAAAUCCACUAAUUCCAAAUGUAUAAACAUUUAAAAAAGCCAAUAAAGAAAGGUUACAUACUAUAUGAUUCCAUCUACAUAACAUUCUUGAAAUGACAAAACUGUAGAAGUGGAGAACAGAUUCGUGGUUGCUAGGUUUUCCUGAAGGGGUGGGGCAAGAUGGAAGUGGCUAUGGCUAUAAAAGGGUAACAUGAGUGACCUUUAUGGAGAUGGAAAUGUCCUUUUUUGACUGUAUCAAUAUUGACCUCCUGGCUGUGAUGUUGUACUAUAGUUUUGCAAAGGAAAACUGGGAAAUGUGAACUCUCUGAUUAUUUCUUACAACCCAGAUGUGAAUCUAUAAUUAUCUCAAAAUUAAAAGUUUAAUUAGAUUUUUUAAUUAAUAGCUAAUAAUGACAAUAGCCAACAUUUAUUGAGUGUUUAAUGCUAAGUGUGAUCCUAUGCAGUUGAUCCAUUUAAUCCUCAUAACCACCCUGUGGCAUAGGUACAAUCAUUAGUCCCAUUCUACUGAUGGUCAGAGUUAUUAGGUAACUUGCUCAAGAUUACAUAGUUAAUGUAAUUAGUAGACCUGUGAUUCAAAUUCAGGCUGUCUGGCUCCAGAGUCUGAUCUUGACCGCCACGCUAGUAUUUAGGCAACUGUACAUACCCAGCCUCUUCAGUUUUCCUUGAAAUUCACGUCCAUAUUCCUGCUUGGCAACUGUUAGCUGGGAAUCAGUAGCUGCUGCCCCCUUUAGGCAGGGCAUUGUAAUACAUUUGUUACGGUCCCCACUACUCUAUUCUAGAGUUUAUUUUAUUACUCCCUGUUCACUUUACUCAUUGAUAUUUAUUUUACCUGUCAGAUCCUGUAGGUAUUUAAGUUUUCAGACUCUGGCAUGCAACAUUCAUUACCUUGGGCUUGCAAAAUAAAAAAGCCACGGAGAGAAAAAUCACAUUAAAUUAAAUAUUUAAAA